CCUGGCUCACGAUGAACGCUAGCUACAGGCUUAACACAUGCAAGUCGAGGGGCAGCAUGGUCUUAGCUUGCUAAGGCCGAUGGCGACCGGCGCACGGGUGAGUAACACGUAUCCAACCUGCCGUCUACUCUUGGACAGCCUUCUGAAAGGAAGAUUAAUACAAGAUGGCAUCAUGAGUCCGCAUGUUCACAUGAUUAAAGGUAUUCCGGUAGACGAUGGGGAUGCGUUCCAUUAGAUAGUAGGCGGGGUAACGGCCCACCUAGUCUUCGAUGGAUAGGGGUUCUGAGAGGAAGGUCCCCCACAUUGGAACUGAGACACGGUCCAAACUCCUACGGGAGGCAGCAGUGAGGAAUAUUGGUCAAUGGGCGAGAGCCUGAACCAGCCAAGUAGCGUGAAGGAUGACUGCCCUAUGGGUUGUAAACUUCUUUUAUAAAGGAAUAAAGUCGGGUAUGGAUACCCGUUUGCAUGUACUUUAUGAAUAAGGAUCGGCUAACUCCGUGCCAGCAGCCGCGGUAAUACGGAGGAUCCGAGCGUUAUCCGGAUUUAUUGGGUUUAAAGGGAGCGUAGAUGGAUGUUUAAGUCAGUUGUGAAAGUUUGCGGCUCAACCGUAAAAUUGCAGUUGAUACUGGAUAUCUUGAGUGCAGUUGAGGCAGGCGGAAUUCGUGGUGUAGCGGUGAAAUGCUUAGAUAUCACGAAGAACUCCGAUUGCGAAGGCAGCCUGCUAAGCUGCAACUGACAUUGAGGCUCGAAAGUGUGGGUAUCAAACAGGAUUAGAUACCCUGGUAGUCCACACGGUAAACGAUGAAUACUCGCUGUUUGCGAUAUACUGCAAGCGGCCAAGCGAAAGCGUUAAGUAUUCCACCUGGGGAGUACGCCGGCAACGUGAAACUCAAAGGAAUUGACGGGGGCCCGCACAAGCGGAGGAACAUGUGGUUUAAUUCGAUGAUACGCGAGGAACCUUACCCGGGCUUAAAUUGCAGAUGAAUUACGGUGAAAGCCGUAAGCCGCAAGGCAUCUGUGAAGGUGCUGCAUGGUUGUCGUCAGCUCGUGCCGUGAGGUGUCGGCUUAAGUGCCAUAACGAGCGCAACCCUUGUUGUCAGUUACUAACAGGUUCCGCUGAGGACUCUGACAAGACUGCCAUCGUAAGAUGUGAGGAAGGUGGGGAUGACGUCAAAUCAGCACGGCCCUUACGUCCGGGGCUACACACGUGUUACAAUGGGGGGUACAGAGGGCCGCUACCACGCGAGUGGAUGCCAAUCCCCAAAACCUCUCUCAGUUCGGACUGGAGUCUGCAACCCGACUCCACGAAGCUGGAUUCGCUAGUAAUCGCGCAUCAGCCACGGCGCGGUGAAUACGUUCCCGGGCCUUGUACACACCGCC
rnacentral:rRNA from 1 species